rnacentral:rRNA from 1 species
UACGUAGGGUGCGAGCGUUGUCCGGAAUUACUGGGCGUAAAGAGCUCGUAGGUGGUUUGUCGCGUUGUCCGUGAAAACUCACAGCUCAACUGUGGGCGUGCGGGCGAUACGGGCAGACUGGAGUACUGCAGGGGAGACUGGAAUUCCUGGUGUAGCGGUGGAAUGCGCAGAUAUCAGGAGGAACACCCGUGGCGAAAGCGGCUCUCUGGGACGGUACUGACGCUGAGACGCGAAAGCGUGGGGAGCAAACAGG